GGCACGAAAUGCUACACGCGAGCCAGGAUACUUGGUAUACGACCUCGACUCCGGAUUUGUGUAGUCUAGAAGAAAUGGAUGGUAGUUUCUAUAAUGUGCACGACAAGAGGUAUUUUUUUGCGUACGUUUAUUGCGUCGCACCGUGUUUAUUAAUUGUCAGUUGUCGUUACACGAUAUGCGAGGAGAUUUGCGUUGCUUCAUGAUCAUUGUGUGCAUCAGUGCCAUGAGAUGUUAUUGCUUUUAUAUCUUUAUUAUACCUUGUUUUAUUUUUGUGCGGUCUUGUAAGAACGGACACAAUGAUUUCCUCAAUGAGUGCUGGUAUAUAUCGAGUUUAGUAGCAGAGUUUUCGGACUGUGUUAGAAAAUAGAAAUUCAAGAGAAACACCAGUGGUGUCUGACAGUGGAGUUUUAUGCAACAUGCCUUCUAUUUGCGGCGAUAUGGGUGACAUGGCUGCUGCUUCACAAUCAGGUAUCAUGGAAGGUAUUUCCAGUACAGACAGUAUUGGGACACAGAGUGACAUAUCAGGACACACCACCGUGACAGGAAGACCGAGAAUGGAUGUAGCUUGUGUAUUGGAUUUGCAACAACCAGAACAUCUUGCCCAGCGAAAGAGAGCGCUGGAUGAGGUUAGACAAGCCUGCAAUUUGGUCAAUGCUAACAUACAUCAUAUUCAGUUUGAGAAACUUGAUUUUGGCGAGACUAAUGUCUUGGAUACUUUCUAUAAUGCUGAUGUAGCAGUUGUAGAUUUAAGUAUCAAAUUGCAACAAUCUGCAUUAUUUUAUCACCUUGGAGUCAGGGAAAGUUUUGGCAUGAAGGAAAAUAUCUUGCUGUAUAAUGAUGUGGACACAGAGGCUACGAUUAGACUAAAGUUAUCUUGUGGCAGCUAUACAUUUGUCUCGUACCGUGUCGUGGAAUGUGGCUCAUGUGUGGCUACUAAUCCAGCAGCUAGCAGAAUCACAGGCGAAGAAGCGAUAGAUCCCAAACAGCAUCUCACUUUGAAACUCAAAAAACUGUUUCAAGAUGUGGAAAUACAAUCCAAAGCGCACAUGAAGGAAAAAUUCCUGGCAGAUUUGCGCAAAGCGCGUGAGACGUAUUCUGGAGAGGAGCUCUCCAGAGCUUUAAAUAAUAUGCGCAAACGUUUAGAUGAUCCAAAUGUUUUGUCAGGAGAAGUUGUUCUGAAUGUUCUUAUUUCAUUCCGAGAAAUACAGGGUUAUGACGCAAUGGUACAAUUGGUUGAUGAUUUGAGAACUAUACCAACUCAUAAGAAUUAUAUAAAUACUCCGGCUAUUAGAUAUUUAUAUGCAUUUGCUCUGAAUCGGCGAAAUAAAGAGGGUGAUCGAGAAAGAGCGUUAAAAGUUAUCGAGAAAGCAUUGGAGAAGAAAGAGAAUCAUGUUCCUGAUAUGUUGUGUUUAUGUGGCAGAAUAUACAAAGACAUAUUUGUAGAGAGUAGGCAUACAGAUCAGGAGAGUUUAAACAACGCGAUCCACUGGUACAGGAAAGGUUUUGAGGUCCAACCUAACGAAUACGCUGGUAUAAAUCUUGCUACUUUAUUGGUCAUAGCUGGUAAUGAAUUUUCCAAGAGUGAAGAAUUGCAACACAUAGGAAUGGUAUUGAACAAUUUAAUUGGCAAGAAAGGCAGUUUAUCGAGUUUAAAAGAUUACUGGGAUGUGGCAACAUUCUUUGAAAUCAGCGUACUGGCAGAAGAUUAUUCAAAGGCUAUACAAGCGGCUGAAUAUAUGUUUAAAUUGAAACCACCAAAUUGGUAUCUGAAAUCGACAAUAGGCAAUAUAUCACUGAUAGACAGAUUUCGUAAAAGGAACGAAGAAGCUGAAAUUUCACCAGAGGAGCAAAUAUUUAGUUUUUGGAUGGACUACUUUGUCGAAGCUACAAAGCCGGAGGUUGGCGACAGUAUACGGUUUCCAAUUCUAGUGUUGGAACCAACAAAGAUUUUGAUGCCAAGUUAUGUGAACGUGAACCUAGGCGCGGAGGAGAAAUCUAUACAAAUAUGGAAUUUGUGUUUGGAUAACAUGAAAAAUAACUGCAAGCAAGUUCAUGAUUGGCUGUUUACCGCAAAUAUGAUACGUAGCGUUAGCCUGUACAAAAGAGACGAGAGAUGCCUUUUCUUGUAUGUUCAUCAAAACUCGGACGAUUUUCAAAUGUACUUGCCGUCAGUGCAAUGUAGGCAACGAUUUUACGAUCUGAUCUUGGAAAUGACUAGAGAUCAGGAAGGCAUGGUUACAGAUUUAGAUGCCUACAUGACUGACGAUCGCAUGAAGUUUGAGUAUGAAUUGGAUGAUCAAAAUAAGCGCAUAAUUCUCGGUAAAGGCACGUAUGGUAUAGUAUAUGCAGCACGUGAUUUAAAUACUCAAGUUAGAAUUGCUGUAAAAGAAAUACGUGAGCGGAAUUUGGGAGAUGUGCAGCCUCUGCACGAAGAAAUUAAGCUACACAGUCAGUUGAGGCAUAGGAAUAUCGUUCAGUAUUUGGGUUCCGUAAGUGAGGAUGGAUAUUUCAAAAUUUUUAUGGAACAAGUGCCUGGAGGGAGCUUGUCAGCUUUGCUGAGAUCAAAGUGGGGUCCUUUAAAAGAAAAUGAAUCAACAAUUUCGUAUUAUACUAAACAAAUGUUGGAAGGUCUUAAAUACCUCCAUGAUCAAAAAAUAGUUCAUAGAGAUAUAAAAGGUGACAAUGUUUUAGUAAAUACGUAUAGUGGAGUUGUGAAAAUUUCUGAUUUUGGCAUGUCGAAACGUUUGGCUGGUCUAUGUCCGAGUACGGAAACAUUUACCGGAACACUACAGUAUAUGGCACCAGAAGUUAUUGACAAAGGUCAACGUGGCUACGGUGCGCCUGCGGACAUUUGGUCUUUGGGUUGCACCAUAGUUGAGAUGGCAACUGGCAAACCUCCAUUCAUUGAACUAGGUUCUGCACAAGCAGCUGUUUUUAAGGUGGGGUAUUAUAAAAUACAUCCUGAGAUACCAUCAGAAUUAUCAGAGAGAGCAAAAUCGUUUAUAUUGCGUUGUUUUGAACCAAAUCCAGAUAUAAGAGCGACUGCGGCAGAACUGUUGGAAGAUCCAUUUCUUAAUGAGAAAAAGAAAAGCAGCAGGUUGGCCGCACCACCAGACUUCAGCAGAAGUAUAUCAGUUCCUGCAGACAGAUUAGAACGUUUGGGGAAAUGUGACAAAACGAACAAUAAUCACAUAGUUGCUGCUGCACCUAUGCAGACAUCUCAGUCAGACGAUAGUGGAGGGUUGACGAAGUCAAGCCCAUUGAGGGAACGCAGUCCGGCCCAUCUAUUGUCUCCCAUCAGCAUGCCUACUGCAACCCUCUCUUUUAACAGUACAAUAGGCAAUACUCCAUCAAUAGAAACUAGUGAAAGUGAUGCAACGGGAGCCUCGAUAACUCGGAGAAGUUCGUCUGGUGGACUGUUAUCGCCGGAAGUGGAAUUAGGAGGACAGCCGGGACAAAAGUCUGGGGAAGAACAAGAAGGUUUUUAUUUAUUGAAAAAGGAUAGUCAAAGGCGUAUGACGUUAACGAGAGUUCUCAAUCAGGAUGAAGCAAAAAUCUGUGAAGUUUGGAUGAGAGGUAUACAUCAAGCGGAAGGACAAACUGUGUUGCAAAUGAGUCAUCUAGUGCUGCUUAUGCGCGGUUUAAGAGAUUAUAUCGCGGAGCAAAAUCAAGAUGUGAUAGUGACUUCUAUUCGAACACUAAAAGAGGAGUUGGAUUUCGAUUCGACAGCUAUUAAUCACCUGCACCUGGCUAUUUACUUGUUUCAAACAGCGGUAAACGAAGUCCUCAGAAUGCAUAGCAUAAAGCCACAUUGGAUGUUCGCCUUGGAUAACUUGGUGAGGAACGCUGUUCAAGCUGCCAUCACAGUGUUAUCACCCGAAUUAGGAGCUAAUUUAUUGGGACAAGAACGGGUGCAACCUGGUGGGCAAGUCCCCGAGGAAGGCUCCACGUCGGGUGUAUCGACGGUAAACUCUGUAAAAUCUCCGAAAACUGGCGAUUCUAUCGAUAAUAAGUACUGGAAGGAGUACAGGGAUCAAAUGGGAGCACUAAAGAUGGAAAAUAUGCGGUUACUUCAGGAAUUGAUAGAGAGCCAAAAGUCGUAUCAAUCAUUGCUGCAACAAGUUCUGGAAGAACAGAGAGUUCAAGUUGGUACAUUAACGCAUCUGUGCGAAAAUAUCAAUAGGAAAGCAGGGAGACAGGAAAUAGGAUGUAAUUUACAGCAGUUACGAUACGUGCGAUUCCGGAAACGUAUCUCAACAACCGGAGAGGUUAACAACUACGGACAUACGUAACAGUAAUAAUACACAUCCUGAUACAGCUCUCAUCGAUUGGUUACGAAAUCUGCAGAUAGACGAGGCAUCAAUCGACAGGUUCCUAUAUGAGGAAUAUGUAUUGGAAGAUAUUUUGGAUCAUAUUACACGGGACGAUCUCCGCAGAUUGAAUUUGAGGGGAGGAAUUGAAAUCAGGAUAUGGCAAGCUAUACUGAGACAUCGGGAGAAUAAUGGGAAUUAAAUUGUGUAGAUUACAGUCACAAUCUUCCGUCGAUGUUAACGGCAAGCUGUUACUAAUUGUUAAUAGUCGAGAUUUAAAGCAGGGUAAGAUAUUCGUCGCCAUAAUAAACCGCCACAAAAGAUAAAAAUGUAAUGAUCUAAAUCGAUCAUAUCGUAAUAUUAAGCAUAUAAAUUAGGCCUCUAUAGAGAGUUUCUUCCGUGACACAGUAUAACACACCGAUUCUCUUUAUAGUUCCUACGUGUAGGUUAAUAUUGUUUUUUAUAGAGGAAUUCUAUAUAUAUAACACAAAUCUGUGAAUGAUGAUUUAUAUUAACGAAACGUAUUAUAUCCUUUACUGUUUUUGUCACAGAUUUUAAUUAUUUUGCCAAAGUUCCAUGAUAUCAGGAUGUAAAAAGACCAAUAUUUAUAUGUAUGAAAUGGAUUUCAUGCAUGUCACAUUGUACCGUUGUAAAAAGAUUCUCAGUUCGAAUUUCGAAAUUUGAUUUUUACAAAUUUAAAUAUUACUGCAUCACGUUGUGGAUGAAUACUGCAUUACUGCAUUACAGUAUCGAUAAAACGGUCAAAUAAAUAAUAAAGAAGUCAUACAUGCAACUUGUCAAUAACGCAAUAAUAUUUGAUAUUAUGCUUUAUUUUAAAACAUUGAUGUCCCAAAGGAAAAAAAAACAAAUGCUUCCGGAUAAUUGCUCCAAUUGACACAAAUAAUAGAUCACUUUACGAGAUAUAUAUUUACUGCACUAAAUAAUACGUAUAAAUGGAACUAUUUAUGAAAGAAGAGAAAAGAACUGUAGGAUUGCAUUAGAUAAACUGUCAGUGAAAAAUUUUGAUUAAAAUGGAUUGAUUAAAAUGCGUGUUUUCAUGCAAAAUUUCUAAAUACUACAAAUACUAAAUAUAGAAAAAUUGUUAUAUAACGUUUAAUCUCUACACAUCUUCACAAAUGGGGACGCAAUUAUUUAUAGUGCCUUAUCAAACUGGCUCUAGUACAAGAAAAGAUAUUUAUUAUAUAGAAUUAAUAUGUAUUUAUACUUAUAUAUUCUCGACGAUGCAAAACAUUUUCCGUCGAAAUUUUAUGUUCGAGAGGAAUGAUAAUUUACUUGUCCACGCCACAACAACAGGCAUGUCUUCCCAGUAUAGAGAUAUUAAUCGAAUGUUUUCGUUGUAAAUAGUGUUCUUUUUAUAGUUUAUAAACGCUUUACAUUCUUUCGUUUUUUGCCGGACGAUUUCGAUUAGAUGCAGCGUUUCUUCCAGAUUUUGUAGAUACGACUUUUUAUAUAUACAGCAAAUCUCUCUUCUAUGCGAUAUUGUAAAGGAAGGAAAAGAUCGAUAUUUUCUCUGCGAUGCACAAUAUAUAUACAGUUUGUACAGUUUGAUUUUUAAUAUGUUUUAUGUGCAAUCGAACUGAAUUUGCGCAAUUAUUUGAUCCUAAAUGCUCUCGGCUAAUUGUUUUCUAGAAAUCAAUGUCAUUAUUGUCAUUGAAGUUAUUGUCUCAGUAAUAUAUUUGCUCGAUGCAGUUCGACUAUUCACACACUAACAUAGAAUUACAUGAUCUAAUGACUGACAAGAAUUAAUUUGAUAAAAGAUAUUUUCAUGUAAUACUAAUAUAUUAAAUAACAGAGCCUAUUGUAAUUGUUCGUGUAUUGGUGCUUGUUCUCGAGUAUUUUGACUGAAGCAAUCCUGCAAAUCUGUGCAUAAAUCUGUUUACAACUAUCGAGGAAAUAAACUUUGGAACAAGUAGCCAAUGUUAUUGUUGAAUAUUUUUCACUCACCUUUAAAGCAGAAUUAAUUAUUGUUGCUCGCAUAUGCGAUCGUUUGUAAUAAAGGUAUGAACAAA
rnacentral:misc_RNA from 1 species